rnacentral:rRNA from 1 species
AUACGGAGGAUCCGAGCGUUAUCCGGAUUUAUUGGGUUUAAAGGGUGCGUAGGUGGUUUGAUAAGUCAGCGGUGAAAGUUUGCAGCUUAACUGUAAAAAUGCCGUUGAAACUGUCGGACUUGAGUGUAAAUGAGGUAGGCGGAAUGCGUGGUGUAGCGGUGAAGUGCAUAGAUAUCACGCAGAACUCCGAUUGCGAAGGCAGCUUACUAAGCUACAACUGACACUGAAGCACGAAAGCGUGGGGAUCAAACAGGAUUAGAUACCCUGGUAGUCCACGCAGUAAACGAUGAUUACUAGCUGUUUGCGAUACACAGUAAGCGGCACAGCGAAAGCGUUAAGUAAUCCACCUGGGGAGUACGCCGGCAACGGUGAAACUCAAAGGAAUUGGCGGGG